rnacentral:rRNA from 1 species
CGGACGGGUGAGGAAUACAUCGGAAUCUACUCUGUCGUGGGGGAUAACGUAGGGAAACUUACGCUAAUACCGCAUACAACCUACGGGUGAAAGCAGGGGAUCUUCGGACCUUGCGCGAUUGAAUGAGCCGAUGUCGGAUUAGCUAGUUGGCGGGGUAAAGGCCCACCAAGGCGACGAUCCGUAGCUGGUCUGAGAGGAUGAUCAGCCACACUGGAACUGAGACACGGUCCAGACUCUAACGGGAGGCAGCAGUGGGGAAUAUUGGACAAUGGGCGCAAGCCUGAUCCAGCCAUACCGCGUGGGUGAAGAAGGCCUUCGGGUUGUAAAGCCCUUUUGUUGGGAAAGAAAUCCAGCUGGCUAAUACCCGGUUGGGAUGACGGUACCCAAAGAAUAAGCACCGGCUAACUUCGUGCCAGCAGCCGCGGUAAUACGAAGGGUGCAAGCGUUACUCGGAAUUACUGGGCGUAAAGCGUGCGUAGGUGGUCGUUUAAGUCCGUUGUGAAACCCCUGGGCUCACCCUGGGAACUGCAGUGGGAUACUGGGCCACUAAAGU